AAAAAGAUAAACCCUGAUUUCCGUGUCCAACGUUUGACCGUCCGUCUUAUUUGAAAAAAUUAUGAAAAAAAUUAAAAAGACAAGUCACGCAUAAAGUAUUAAUCAUAUUUUAUCCUCUAACAACAAUGAAAAUACAAAUUAUAAAAAAAUUUCAUAUAAGACGGACAGUCAAACGUUGGACAUGGAAACCUAGGGUUUGUCUUUUU
rnacentral:pre_miRNA from 1 species